GAUGAACGCUAGCUACAGGCUUAACACAUGCAAGUCGAGGGGUAACGAGAGGAAAGCUUGCUUUCCUUGUUGACGACCGGCGCACGGGUGAGUAACGCGUAUCCAACCUGCCCCCAACUAAGGAAUAACCUGGCGAAAGUAAGACUAAUACCUUAUAAUUUCCUCAGAUGUCAUCUGACGAGGAAUAAAGAUUUAUCGGUUGUGGAUGGGGAUGCGUCUGAUUAGCUUGUUGGCGGGGUAACGGGCCACCAAGGCAACGAUCAGUAGGGGUUCUGAGAGGAAGGUCCCCCACAUUGGAACUGAGACACGGUCCAAACUCCUACGGGAGGCAGCAGUGAGGAAUAUUGGUCAAUGGGCGAAAGCCUGAACCAGCCAAGUAGCGUGCAGGAUGACGGCCCUAUGGGUUGUAAACUGCUUUUAUACAGGAAUAAAGUUAGCCACGUGUGGUUAUUUGUAGGUACUGUAUGAAUAAGGACCGGCUAAUUCCGUGCCAGCAGCCGCCGUAA
rnacentral:rRNA from 1 species